CCUGGUGGUUAUGGCGGGGUGGCUGCACCCGUUCCCUUUCCGAACACGGCCGUGAAACGCCCCAGCGCCUAUGGUACUUCGUCUUAAGACGCGGGAGAGUCGGUCGCUGCCAGGU
rnacentral:rRNA from 8 species